ACCGGCGCACGGGUGAGUAACACGUAUGCAACCUGCCCUCCGCAGGGGGAUAACCCGGAGAAAUCCGGACUAAUACCGCGUGGUACACCAGUGGGGCAUCCCACGGGUGUUAAAAGGAAGCGAUUCCGGCGGAGGAUGGGCAUGCGGCGCAUUAGCUUGUUGGCGGGGUAACGGCCCACCAAGGCGACGAUGCGUAGGGGUUCUGAGAGGAAGGUCCCCCACACUGGUACUGAGACACGGACCAGACUCCUACGGGAGGCAGCAGUGAGGAAUAUUGGUCAAUGGCCGGAAGGCUGAACCAGCCAAGUCGCGUGAGGGACGACUGCCCUAUGGGUUGUAAACCUCUUUUAUAAGGGAAGAAUAAAUGCUACGUGUAGCAUGAUGCCUGUACCUUAUGAAUAAGCAUCGGCUAACUCCGUGCCAGCAGCCGCGGUAAUACGGAGGAUGCGAGCGUUAUCCGGAUUUAUUGGGUUUAAAGGGUGCGUAGGCGGUUUUUUAAGUUAGUGGUUAAACGUCGGGGCUUCACCUUGAUUUGCCAUUAAUACUGUAAGACUCGAGUUCAGACGAGGUAGGCGGAAUAAGUUAAGUAGCGGUGAAAUGCUUAGAUAUAACUUAAAACUCCGAUAGCGAANGCAGCUUACCAAACUGCNACUGACCCUNAACACGAAAGCGUGGUAGCGAACAGGAUNAGAUCCCUGGUA
rnacentral:rRNA from 1 species